GACGAACGCUGGCGGCGCGCCUAACACAUGCAAGUCGAACGGAGCUGAGAGAAGCUUGCUUUUCUUAGCUUAGUGGCGAACGGGUGAGUAACGCGUGAGUAACCUGCCCUGGAGUGGGGGACAACAGUUGGAAACGACUGCUAAUACCGCAUAAGCCCACGAUCCGGCAUCGGAUUGAGGGAAAAGGAUUUAUUCGCUUCAGGAUGGACUCGCGUCCAAUUAGCUAGUUGGUGAGGUAACGGCCCACCAAGGCGACGAUUGGUAGCCGGGCUGAGAGGUUGGACGGCCACAUUGGGGCUGGGACACAGCCCAGACUCCUACGGGAGGCAGCAGUGGGGGAUAUUGCACAAUGGGGGAAACCCUGAUGCAGCGACGCCGCGUGGAGGAAGAAGGUUUUCGGAUUGUAAACUCCUGUCGUUAGGGACGAUAAUGACGGUACCUAACAAGAAAGCACCGGCUAACUACGUG
rnacentral:rRNA from 1 species